GCGUGGUGCUUCGCUGACGAGUGGCGGACGGGUGAGUAAUGUCUGGGAAACUGCCUGAUGGAGGGGGAUAACUACUGGAAACGGUGAGCUAAUACCGCAUAACGUCGCAAGACCAAAGAGGGGGACCUUCGGGCCUCUUGCCAUCGGAUGUGCCCAGAUGGGAUUAGCUAGUAGGUGGGGUAACGGCUCACCUAGGCGACGAUCCCUAGCUGGUCUGAGAGGAUGACCAGCCACACUGGAACUGAGACACGGUCCAGACUCCUACGGGAGGCAGCAGUGGGGAAUAUUGCACAAUGGGCGCAAGCCUGAUGCAGCCAUGCCGCGUGUAUGAAGAAGGCCUUCGGGUUGUAAAGUACUUUCAGCGGGGAUGAAGGGAGUAAAGUUAAUACCUUUGCUCAUUGACGUUACCCGCAGAAGAAGCACCGGCUAACUCCGUGCCAGCAGCCGCGGUAAUACGGAGGGUGCAAGCGUUAAUCGGAAUUACUGGGCGUAAAGCGCACGCAGGCGGUUUGUUAAGUCAGAUGUGAAAUCCCCGGGCUCAACCUGGGAACUGCAUCUGAUACUGGCAAGCUUGAGUCUCGUAGAGGGGGGUAGAAUUCCAGGUGUAGCGGUGAAAUGCGUAGAGAUCUGGAGGAAUACCGGUGGCGAAGGCGGCCCCCUGGACGAAGACUGACGCUCAGGUGCGAAAGCGUGGGGAGCAAACAGGAUUAGA
rnacentral:rRNA from 1 species